rnacentral:rRNA from 1 species
AGACCCGAAACCCGGUGAUCUAGCCAUGGGCAGGUUGAAGGUUGGGUAACACUAACUGGAGGACCGAACCGACUAAUGUUGAAAAAUUAGCGGAUGACCUGUGGCUGGGGGUGAAAGGCCAAUCAAACCGGGAGAUAGCUGGUUCUCCCCGAAAGCUAUUUAGGUAGCGCCUCGUGAAUUCAUCUCCGGGGGUAGAGCACUGUUUCGGCUAGGGGGCCAUCCCGGCUUACCAACCCGAUGCAAACUGCGAAUACCGGAGAAUGUUAUCACGGGAGACACACGGCGGGUGCUAACGUCCGUCGUGAAGAGGGAAACAACCCAGACCGCCAGCUAAGGUCCCAAAGUCAUGGUUAAGUGGGAAACGAUGUGGGAAGGCCCAGACAGCCAGGAUGUUGGCUUAGAAGCAGCCAUCAUUUAAAGAAAGCGUAAUAGCUCACUGGUCGAGUCGGCCUGCGCGGAAGAUGUAACGGGGCUAAACCAUGCACCGAAGCUGCGGCAGCGAACGUAUCACUUAAAGCGAUUCAGCGGGUUACGAUUGACGGAGCGAAGCGACGUCAAAGCGUAUACAAAGUCGAGUCGGUUUAAGGAUACGUUCGUUGGGUAGGGGAGCGUUCUGUAAGCCUGUGAAGGUGUGUCGUGAGGCAUGC